UCGUAUAACAGAGGUGUAAGGGCUGUCGCUGACCUUUAAAGGUCGUGCACGCCUAAGCCCUCUCACAAUCCAUCUCACCCCUUUUGUGCAUCACCGCGUGGGUCCUCCCUUUGCCGGGAGGGCCUGCGUUUUCACAUCAAACUUGAUACAGUGUAGAAUGUUUCAUUUGCGGUCACACGCAAUCAAUA
rnacentral:misc_RNA from 1 species